rnacentral:rRNA from 1 species
UGCCAGCCGCCGCGGUAAUACGAAGGGUGCUAGCGUUGUUCGGAAUUACUGGGCGUAAAGAGCAUGUAGGCGGAUGAAUUAGUCAGAGGUGAAAGCCCCGAGCUCAACUUGGGAACUGCCUUUGAUACUGUUUAUCUAGAGUCCGAGAGAGGUUAGUGGAAUUCCCAGUGUAGAGGUGAAAUUCGUAGAUAUUGGGAAGAACACCAGUGGCGAAGGCGGCUAACUGGCUCGGUACUGACGCUGAGAUGCGAAGGCCAGGGUAGCGAAAAGGAUUAGAUA